UGCAAUUUUAAUAAAAAAUAAUAAUAAAUUAAUAAUGUAAAAAUGUUCAGAUACAUCAUACGGUUCUAGAAGAAUAUUAAUCCUAAUAAUAUGAAAGAAAGUGAAAUCAUGGUUCAAAAUAGAGAAACUGGAACAGUCAACACCUUUAUACAUAAAAAAAAAUAAUAAUAAAAACCUAGAAUCUUUUGUAACAAAAAAAAAACUAGAUUUUUCUAGACAAAAAGAAAACAAUAUAAAGAGAUAGAGAGAGAUAAUAGGGUUUGGUUUACUAUAUGAAGUAGUAGGAGAGUUUGUAUGAGAUUAGAUAUCGAAGUUUUAUUAAAUCUGGGGGCCGGGGUUCAUGGUGAUGUGUAGAGGAUGGUGAAGAUAUAUGUGGCAAUGUGUUUGGUUUCACUACUCUCUAUAUUUUCUCUUCUCUUAUUUCCUCUCUUUUCUUUUGGACUCUCCUUCUCUUUUAUUCCCCUAGCCUUGAUUUAUGGUUACUAUUUAUAAGGUAAAUUAGGUUAAAGGCAUUAGGAAGAUGCCAAUUGGAAAAGGGUGGAGAGGUGGUUACAAAAAGUUAGAGAUUUAGAGCAGAGCAUCUAUUGAAAGCUCAAAAUGGUAAAAGGUAAAAAGCAAUGAGAAAGAAAAAAAAUGGGAGCAUGUUCAAAUUGUUUUGUAAGGAGAUGUUUGUGACAAAAUUGCAUGUGAAAAAUACAAACAAAAAAAACAUUGCAUGUGAAAAUCAUAGCGGUGUGAGCUAAAAAUGGAGAAAGGAAAAUCAAAUGGUAAAGAGAAUUUGGAAUGAUGCUAGAAUAUAAGAAAUAAGAAUCCUUUGGAGUGUAUUUGAUGUAGUGUGCUCCAAAGAGGCUACAACCACUUUGCUACUCUAAUUUGUUUUGUUUUUAUCAUUUUGUACUUUUGUUUUAUAAUUACUAAAUAUGGUCCUCAAAUAAAAUUUUCAUUCAACUACUAACAAAUGGAAUAUGAAAAAGGAAAAUAGAGAAAAAAACAUGUUAUGAAAAUCAAAGAGAUAAUUUUCACCAGGAUAUAAAUCUUGAGGUUGUCGCGGUGCCUCCUUCUAUAUCUCAACCUCCUUCCUUAUGUUGGGGCUCAUAUGCUGCCUUUGACACUUGAGACGCUCCGAGUCUAUCACGUAUGACCUUUGCCUAGACAAGACUUUUGUGGUCGUCCUGUUGCCUCUAACACGACUGGGGUAUGCCUCCAUAACUGAAACAAAUCAAAAUACAAAAACCGAUCAAUAUAUUAAAGAAAGUUUUGAGAUAAGUCAAAAUUCAUCAUAACUAACUUCGUCUCGUAUUUUAUAAAUCAAAUUCGUUAAUAAUGCAUUUCGAUUUAAAAAAUCUCAAAAUAUUGAACGCCAGUAGAAAAAAAUCAAACAAACCAAUGAAUGUUUGAGCAAAUGAGAUCUAACAUUUGUUUAGUGGUGGGAAAUGUCUCAAAAACAAUGGGUUUAAGUAACUUGACUUUAAAAAUGACAUACUUUAGCAAGAUUCAAAUAUUGGGGAGGUUGAGAGUUUUUUAGGGCAAAUAUCGUAACUAAUGAAAUAGGGGGAAGGAAGUUUAGCCCGACUUAUAUAUCAACAUGGUUCAUAUUCUAUAAUCCGAAAAUGUGUUUUCUUUUUAUAUAUAUUUUUUAGAUUAUAGAAUCCAAGAAUAAAAU
rnacentral:lncRNA from 1 species